AGACGACAUAAGUCGAAAGAAAUUAAAAGACGAUUCCAUGGCGGAAGAGAAGAGCUUCAAGUAUGUGAUCGUCGGAGGUGGUGUUGCCGCCGGAUAUGCGGCGAGAGAGUUCUCUAAGCAAGGUCUCCAACCUCGGCCUUGAAAGUUAUUUAGGCUAGCUCUGGCGAUUCAUAUUAUGUAUUCUUGUUUUGUUUCUAUGUGAUUGAUAGUUUUGGUAGUUCUGUGUUAAACAGGUUCCUCCAUAUGAGCGUCCUGCACUUAGCAAGGGAUAUAUCAACCUCGAGAAUAAAGGUACACUUCCCGGUUUUUAUGUCUGUGCUGGAAGUGGGGGAGAGAAACAGUUCCCUCAAUGGUACAAAGAGAACGGUGGGUUUGGGUACUAUCCACGAGACGCGGAUGCGGUGGCCGGCGAAAUAGGCAAGCUCCAGCAAUGGUGAGAAAGUUGACUUGUAGUCUUGAGGAAUUGUUUCAGGAGUUGUUCCCGAAGGUUUUGGGUUAGUUGCUCUCUCUCUCUCUCUCUCUCUCUCUCUCUCUCUCUCUCUCUCUC